rnacentral:snRNA from 1 species
CUAAGUUUCGUUUUUACUUUUACUCAUUCUUUAUGAGUAUUAUGCAGAGAAGAUUAGCAUGGCCCAUGCGCAAGGAUGACACGCAAAAUCCUAAAGCAUUCCACAUUUUA